GACGAACGCUGGCGGCGUGCUUAACACAUGCAAGUCGAACGGUGAAGCGAGUGCUUGCACUCGUGGAUCAGUGGCGAACGGGUGAGUAACACGUGAGUAACCUGCCCAUCACUCUGGGAUAAGCACUGGAAACGGUGUCUAAUACUGGAUACGACCAACCCUUGCAUGGGGUGUUGGUGGAAAGAUUUAUCGGUGAUGGAUGGACUCGCGGCCUAUCAGCUUGUUGGCGGGGUAAUGGCCCACCAAGGCGACGACGGGUAGCCGGCCUGAGAGGGUGACCGGCCACACUGGGACUGAGACACGGCCCAGACUCCUACGGGAGGCAGCAGUGGGGAGUAUUGCACAAUGGGCGAAAGCCUGAUGCAGCGACGCCGCGUGAGGGAUGACGGCCUUCGGGUUGUAAACCUCUUUCAGCAGGGAAGAAGCGAAAGUGACGGUACCUGCAGAAGAAGCACCGGCUAACUACGUG
rnacentral:rRNA from 1 species